rnacentral:rRNA from 1 species
AACGUAGGUGGCGAGCGUUAUCCGGAUUUACUGGGCGUAAAGGGUGUGCAGGCGGGGUAUCAAGGUGGUGUAUGAAAGGGCGCGGCUACAACUGCGCUAGGUUAUGCCAGGACUGAUGCUCUGGAGGACCGAAACAGGGGCUGGUGGAAUUCCGGGUGGUAGUGGUGAAAUGCGUAGAGAUCCGGAGGAACCCAGAGGCGAAGGCGGCAGCCUGGUUGGCGUCCUGACGCUCGACGACGACAGCAUGGGAGUCGAAACA